GCGCAUGCGCACAUCCACUCCAUUCGCCUGACUAAAGAGAUUCAUUUUGGGUCUACCUUGAAGAAUGAAGGCAGUCUGGCUCCACUUUAUCUGCUUGCUUCAAUGCUAUGCUGUCAUUACAAGGCCUCAAACUGGUUCCAGGAUUUCCUAUGUAAUAAUCUGAACUGUGAAACUUUCUUCCAAUACCGGUUUGAAACUACAUUGAAUGCGCUUUCUGGAGGUCUGCAACUCUUGAUCCAUGCUUGAAACCAACAAAUAACAGCUUCUCGAAUUUCCCACCAUCGAGCAAAUCAAUCACUGAAGCCACUGCAUGGAGCUCACGACCAACAAGAGCCUAAAUCCUAGCCAGCUCCAAUUUCCUCCAAUCAGAGGCUAGAGAGGUCAUUCUAAAUUGCUGUCAAAGAAGGAUAAACGAAGCUUCUUUAACUAAGCACCCAAGGCCUUCGGGAACCAGAAAAUCAUACAUUCAGUUCUGAGUGAUGCAAUGAGUCACUGGACUGAGUUCAAACAAGCUGAUUCUCUGAAUCUCAUUUAGCCACUAGGCCAAGCGCGAAACUGGACGGGAUAUAGCUCUUUGAUCCAAAUAUGUACGAGCCCAAGUUAUGAUUCUGGUAAAUGCCAAAAUGCCUUUCUCUCGCACGGUGUCCAAAUCUUCCAGAUGUUUUCAAGAAUCAGAUUUCAGGAGCGUCUUUAAUAAAACAAAAAAAAAGGAUGGCAGAAAUGUUAUUUUGCAAAUGUUAACAAUGCAUUAACUACUAUUGCCUUUCUCCCUAUUAAGUCAAAGGCAUUAAAUUAAACAAUGAACUACAGAUAUAGUCUUAUCUUCUGUAUAAGUAUGAGACACAUUGUAGUUAAUAUUUUUAACAUGUAUAGAAGUCUUGGCUUUAUAAAGCAUGUCUAUGAGCUAAGUUAUCUCUCAGUGUCAGCAAUUUAUUUUACAACCACCAAAUAAAGAUAUCUUACUAA